rnacentral:rRNA from 1 species
UACGGGGGGGGCAAGCGUUGUUCGGAAUUACUGGGCGUAAAGGGCUUGUAGGUGGCCAACUAAGUCAGACGUGAAAUCCCUCGGCUUAACCGGGGAACUGCCUCGGAUACUGGGCGUCUCGAGUGUGGUAGGGGUAUGCGGAACUAUCGGUGGAGCGGUGAAAUGCGUUGAUAUCGAUAGGAACUCCGGUGGCGAAGGCGGCAUACUGGACCACCACUGACGCUGAUGCGCGAAAGCCAGGGGAGCAAACGGG